rnacentral:rRNA from 1 species
CUUGGGUGUGUCUCCCUUCUCGGGAAACACUCUCAACCCCACGAACCCUUGACCUCAAAUCGGGUGAGACUACCCGCUGAACUUAAGCAUAUCAAUAAGCGGAGGA